GUUGUGCAUGAGUUGUUUACAUAGAUCACUAGUUCAUUAAGGUCGUCAUAAUAUGAAUCUUUAUUUUCUUGUUUAGCCAUGUUCCAUUUGAGCUUUGAGCAUAAGUUUCGCUGACACAACACAUGAGCUUGUACGGUCCAAUCCAUAUUUUUUUUACCAUUAUUCAAAUUAUCAAUGGAAUUUGUUUAAAAAAAAAUAAAAGUUUAUCAAUGUAGUAUUUUUUUAAAAAUUUAAUUAAUUUAUUUUCUUCCUUGGAUUAUGAAAUUCAAAUUCAAAUGUUUCAACCAGGGCUCCAAUAAAAAACCAAAAGAAAAAUGAAAAAAAAAAAAAAAGUUGACAGUUACCAAUUUCUGUUAUUUUCGCACCAGAAAUUGCAAUUGCAUCAUUACAUGUAUUCCUAAUCAAACGGCUCUUUCAUCUGCACAGUUACUCAAUCUCAAUGUAUCGUCCUCGAUCAUGUUGCGAUCAUUUUGGCGGCCCAUUGUUCGCUUCUCUCUCCUAUAUUUCCGCACAAGUAGCUGUUGAAAUUGAUAGAAUCCCAGCUAUAAGGGGAGACUGAUAUGCUUAUGAUCUUUGUGGCUGUCCUUGCUUUAAAUCCGAAUCAGGGCUGUCAGUGGGAAGCUGAGCAAAGACACCAUCUGUCUUCUUCUAAAAGUCCAAGAGUUAUAUCAUCAAUGAAUUGCAGGGAAUUGAAGUCGUUCAUACAUUUAAUAGGAUACUGUGGCUUUGGAGACAAUAGUCGGAUAUUGUAUAUAAAAUUUUUUCCAGGAAACAGUUGUGGACAUAUUGCAAACUAUUGUAGAAAAAUUUACAUAUGGUGAUAGGCAUGACCCAUCAUCUUCGAUUCAUGGAACAUCAAGUGUUAGCUGAGUUUAUCUGCAUGCUCAAGAUUAGUAGGGAUACCAAGAACAGGAUUGAGGCAAAGGUGCUUCAAUACCUGAGCAUAAUGAUACUAAAUCUACACAGUGAACAUUUAUUUUGGCUGUGAGUGGGAAGCAGAACAAAGACACCGUCUGUCUUCUCUAAAAUUCCAAGAGGGUGUUUUUACAUAGUUUCCUCUAUAUACUUUAGCCCUUAAAUUUGCACACCAUGGGGAGAAGGUCAUUCAGACAGCCAUUCAUUCUCUUACUCUAAGCAUAUAUAAUGGGUGUCAAGAUUUCUUCUGUACUUAUCGAUAUCUACUUUCUCAUCUACUUCAAGUGGUUGUAAAGAAGGAUAUGUUGGAUUCUGUGGCCAGUCUAAUUCUGAAUCCUCAUGUGGCAUUGGGUCUUGUGAUUGGUACUGAGGACUCUGCUGUUGAUAGUACUCAAGCCAUCUUCUGAUCAGCUUAACAGUAUUAAGAAAAUUUUAAACUCCAGUCUCGAGUCUCAGUAUGAUGACGAAGAAUUUGAGGUUAUCUUGGAGGCCAAGUUAUCAGCUCACUGUAUAACAAGUUUUCAGUGCGACAGUCAGCAGGAGAGGAAGAUAGCGUAACGUGACUAGUUUAUUUCAGCAUUAUAUACUUUUUAAAUGCACAGUUUAAGAAAAGGCAGAGGUAUAGUCUAGGGAGAUUAUGCAUGUUGCUCAGCGUUGCCAGUGUAGCUUAUUGUCCUCAGGCUGCUGUUGCUUGCAGGGCAGUUUACUAUAUAGUGAAUGUAUUUGGUAGUUUAUGCCUUGAUUUAUUGUGGAUAAUGCAUACUGUCAGUAUAGGAGCAAGUACUUUUGAUUUUAAACUAUAGUUUGGUAAAACUUCAUUCUCUUGUAGAUUUAUUUUUUUUUUUUUUUUUUUUUUUUUUUUUUUUUUUUUUUUUUUUUUUUUUUUUUUUUUUUUUUUUUUUUUUUUUUGCAUUUCGAAGUGGAAUGCUCCUCUAUGGAGGUUGUGACUUGUGAGACGGGUUUUCAUAUUAAUUAUAGUUGUUAACACUGUUUUGGACCUUAGUCGGCAAUUGCAGGUGUGUUUUUUUGCUGUGAUGUCUUGUAAUUGGUCUCGGUUGAUACAAGAUAGAUUCAGUCAUUAUUUUGUCUGUAUCGCCAAUACAUAAUGGUCAUGUAUGGAUUGUAAGAGUUUUGGCUUUUCACUGAGGCCAUAAUUUCAUAACAGUUGAUACGAAGUAUAUUGGAAGGUUGAGGGGAUUUAGCUUAUAGAACUGGAAAAUAACAAUAGUUGUGAAGGCAUUAAUGGUUUGGAACUGGUGGUUGAUUAAGAGGUUGCUGCUGAGGGUUUUGGUGCUGCAUUGCAUUGUUGCUGCUCUGCUGUCCUUUCUUCUUCUUUUUUUUUUUUUUUUUUUUUGUGAUAUUUAAAGCAUUUUAAAAUGAUAUGUCUACGACGGAAAUUCGAAAGCAUUUUAGGAGGUGAGAGAUGAAUAAGUCUCCAUUCCCUGAAAAAAAAAAA